rnacentral:lncRNA from 1 species
UUUCUCUAUUUCCGACGAUGAUACGAAUUGCAAUAAACAUCCAUUAAAUUAAAACCAAAUUGAGAGGAAAGAAAACAUCGUUAACCACACAUGCACACCUUUAGAAAACCUCGUGCAGAGAAACAACAUAUUUCUCAUCUUAUUUCGAGUGACUGUACAUUCAAAUGCGUUUUUGUUGUGUGAGCACUAAGGCCAUCAUCGUCAACACAAAUGUGAUGUCAUGUGAAAAUAUAUUGCGUUCAGAACGUGUGUUAUUUUCUCUUCCGUUGCAACGCACGGGCUCUUCUGCUAGUUAUACCUAAACAAAUAGAUAAAUCUACCUUAUUUAAUUGGGGGCUACAUGUCAUUAGGCCAAGACUAACUAAAAUAAAUAAUUAAACUACUAACUAAAGGGUCGCUACUUAGCCUAGAAUAAUUAGCACCUAAUCUAACCAAACUAAUUAGCUCACGGCCGGCCGGUGGCACAACCAGCCGUGGUUGUGCACACACACGCAAAC